AAAAAACAAAUGCGCUUGUAGGGUGGUUGAAAUAUUUUUUUUUUUGAACAAACAGGGUGGUUGAAAUAUAAGUUUCAGAGCUUUGACGAAAUGAGGAUAAGUCCAUAGUUUAAAAAAAAAUGAGGAUAAGUCCAUCAUACUCGGUAAUUCUUUAAUUUCAGAAAAAUAAAUAAAAACUAUGGCUUAUUUGCUAAAUAGCCAAAAAAAAGGGAAAUUAGAUUUAUAGAGAGAAAGUAGAGAGAGAUAGGAAGAGAAAGUAGGAGAGAGGUGGUGUUUUUAGUUAGUUAGUGAAUUUUAUUUUUUUUUAUGCUUACUGGGUGCAAUUUCCCUAAAAACUAAGAUCAAAGAUGAUUUUGAUGGCAACAAAUAAUUACCAUUACCUCUAUAAAACUAUAAAAGCUUUUAGGUAUAAUCAUUGCCAAUUAUCUUGGAAUUAAGGUGUGAAACAGUAUGUUUCAGAGCUUUGACGAAAUGAGGAUAAGUCCAUAGUUUAAAAAAAAAUGAGGAUAAGUCCAUCAUACUCGGUAAUUCUUUAAUUUCAGGAAAAUAAAUAAAAACUAAGAUCAAAGAUGAUUUUGAUGGCAACAAAUAAUUACCAUUACCUCUAUAAAACUAUAAAAGCUUUUAGGUAUAAUCAUUGCCAAUUAUCUUGGAAUUAAGGUGUGAAACAGUAUGUUUCAG
rnacentral:lncRNA from 1 species